GAUGAAGAACGCAGCGAAAUGCGAUACUUGGUGUGAAUUGCAGAAUCCCGUGAACCAUCGAGUCUUUGAACGCAAGUUGCGCCCGAAGCCAUUAGGCCGAGGGCACGCCUGCCUGGGCGUCACACGUCGUUGCCCCCCCAUCUACUCCUUCGGGAUUGCGGGGGGCGGAUGAUGGCCUCCCGUGCGCCUCGUCGCGCGGUUGGCAUAAAUGCCAAGUCCUCGGCGACGCACGCCACGACAAUCGGUGGUUGCGAAACCUCGGUUGCCCGUCGUGUGCGGUCGUCGCGCAUCGAGGGCUCGAAAAAAUUGCCGGGCUCCGGCUCGGCUUUCAACGCGACCCCAGGUCAGGCGGGGUUACCCGUUGAAUUUAAGCAUAUCAAUAAGCGGAGGA
rnacentral:misc_RNA from 1 species